rnacentral:rRNA from 1 species
UAACUGGAGGACCGAACCGACUAAUGUUGAAAAAUUAGCGGAUGACCUGUGGCUGGGGGUGAAAGGCCAAUCAAACCGGGAGAUAGCUGGUUCUCCCCGAAAGCUAUUUAGGUAGCGCCUCGUGAAUUCAUCUCCGGGGGUAGAGCACUGUUUCGGCUAGGGGGCCAUCCCGGCUUACCAACCCGAUGCAAACUGCGAAUACCGGAGAAUGUUAUCACGGGAGACACACGGCGGGUGCUAACGUCCGUCGUGAAGAGGGAAACAACCCAGACCGCCAGCUAAGGUCCCAAAGUCAUGGUUAAGUGGGAAACGAUGUGGGAAGGCCCAGACAGCCAGGAUGUUGGCUUAGAAGCAGCCAUCAUUUAAAGAAAGCGUAAUAGCUCACUGGUCGAGUCGGCCUGCGCGGAAGAUGUAACGGGGCUAAACCAUGCACCGAAGCUGCGGCAGCGACACUGUGUGUUGUUGGGUAGGGGAGCGUUCUGUAAGCCUGUGAAGGUGUGUCGUGAGGC